GAUUGGAAGGGGUGGGGAUUCAGUUCCUGCACAGCCCUGGAACUCUCCUGAAGGGCCCUAAAAGAAAAAGGGGCGGGAGGAGCGCUCCAGACGCCACUGAAGACUCGACCGAGAAGGGGGCGUCCGGGCCUGGGAGAGCUGCACUGGCAGGGGCUGACGUGCGGCUCCUUCAGAUUGUCUUUGGCUCUGGGAAGUGCUUUUGAGAUGACUCGACCGCACAGGAAUUUUACACUUCGAGGGACCCAAGCAGAGAUGCUUUCAUUGGCAUGAGAAGUCUACCAAGUGGUGACUUAAUUCACGGGCCGGCAGUAGUUAAUGCCUCUAGUGCCAGAGCUGGGCGAAGGAAAUAGAAAACGAGGAAAGGAGAGGCCCAAGAAAAUCAAUAGAAGAUAAUAGGGUAAAGGGAAAGAAAGAUGGAGAACCCACAGCACAUGCCCUCAAGAACUUAUGUGGGGACCCCAGGUGUCACAGGAAGCCUGCCCUGAUUUAAUUUGCAUCAGGGCUGAGUGCUUUUAAAACCGGCUUGGGUGUUCUCCUGUCCUUUAAGUGGGUGGGUUAGUCUGUGGGGAGUGUGCCUAAGUGGGGUUGGCAACCUAUACCUGCAUAGGGAGUGUGGUUGCUGAUCUCUGUCCCAGAAAGGUGAAAUGCUGCUCUCCAGGGAGUGGUAGACUGUAUUCGUUCUCGAGGUGGUACUGAGGCUGCUGCUCAACAGGCUGAGAGCUCUUAUUGGAUUGUGUUAGGCUGUAGGGUACCCCUGAACUGAAGUUGUUGGUUACAUGAUGUUUCUCAUAAACUGUUGCAAAAACUUUUUGACCAGUGAUUUUACGAAUACAAAUAAAGCUUGCGUUAUGUAACUUUUAUAUGCCACCUCUGAAUAACGAAGACCCUGAAGAGCAAAGCAUUGUACACAUUCUCCAGAACAUAGGAAGAACAGGAAGGGGGUAAAUGAACGGAGAAGAUUGGUGGAAUAUAAAGAUGGAAGGUGUGUCCCUACCUGCACAGUGAAGAGGCAGAUCAAAAACAGAUGAACUUCAAAAUAACUAAUUAUAAUUAUGAAAUUACACACACAUGCCUAAUAA